rnacentral:rRNA from 1 species
AGCGUACACGGUGGAUGCCCUGGCAGUCAGAGGCGAUGAAGGGCGUGCUAAUCUGCGAUAAGCGCCGGUAAGGUGAUAUGAACCGUUAUAACCGGCGAUACCCGAAUGGGGAAACCCAGUGUGACUCGUCACACUAUCAUUAACUGAAUCCAUAGGUUAAUGAGGCGAACCGGGGGAACUGAAACAUCUAAGUACCCCGAGGAAAAGAAAUCAACCGAGAUUCCCCCAGUAGCGGCGAGCGAACGGGGAGGAGCCCAGAGCCUGAAUCAGCAUGUGUGUUAGUGGAAGCGUCUGGAAAGGCGCGCGAUACAGGGUGACAGCCCCGUACACAAAAGCGCAUGUGCUGUGAGCUCGAUGAGUAGGGCGGGACACGUGGUAUCCUGUCUGAAUAUGGGGGGACCAUCCUCCAAGGCUAAAUACUCCUGACUGACCGAUAGUGAACCAGUACCGUGAGGGAAAGGCGAAAAGAACCCCGGCGAGGGGAGUGAAAAAGAACCUGAAACCGUGUACGUACAAGCAGUGGGAGCACAGGUUUACCUGUGUGACUGCGUACCUUUUGUAUAAUGGGUCAGCGACUUAUAUUCUGUAGCAAGGUUAACCGAAUAGGGGAGCCGGAGGGAAACCGAGUCUUAAUUGGGCGUUAAGUUGCAGGGUAUAGACCCGAAACCCGGUGAUCUAGCCAUGGGCAGGUUGAAGGUUGGGUAACACUAACUGGAGGACCGAACCGACUAAUGUUGAAAAAUUAGCGGAUGACCUGUGGCUGGGGGUGAAAGGCCAAUCAAACCGGGAGAUAGCUGGUUCUCCCCGAAAGCUAUUUAGGUAGCGCCUCGUGAAUUCAUCUCCGGGGGUAGAGCACUGUUUCGGCUAGGGGGCCAUCCCGGCUUACCAACCCGAUGCAAACUGCGAAUACCGGAGAAUGUUAUCACGGGAGACACACGGCGGGUGCUAACGUCCGUCGUGAAGAGGGAAACAACCCAGACCGCCAGCUAAGGUCCCAAAGUCAUGGUUAAGUGGGAAACGAUGUGGGAAGGCCCAGACAGCCAGGAUGUUGGCUUAGAAGCAGCCAUCAUUUAAAGAAAGCGUAAUAGCUCACUGGUCGAGUCGGCCUGCGCGGAAGAUGUAACGGGGCUAAACCAUGCACCGAAGCUGCGGCAGCGACGCUGAUGCGUUGUUGGGUAGGGGAGCGUUCUGUAAGCCUGUGAAGGUGGCCUGUGAGGGUUGCUGGAGGUAUCAGAAGUGCGAAUGCUGACAUAAGUAACGAUAAAGCGGGUGAAAAGCCCGCUCGCCGGAAGACCAAGGGUUCCUGUCCAACGUUAAUCGGGGCAGGGUGAGUCGACCCCUAAGGCGAGGCCGAAAGGCGUAGUCGAUGGGAAACGGGUUAAUAUUCCCGUACUUGGUGUUACUGCGAAGGGGGGACGGAGAAGGCUAUGUUGGCCGGGCGACGGUUGUCCCGGUUUAAGCGUGUAGGUGUGUGUUCCAGGUAAAUCCGGUUCACUUUAACACUGAGGCGUGACGACGAGGCACUACGGUGCUGAAGCAACAAAUGCCCUGCUUCCAGGAAAAGCCUCUAAGCAUCAGGUAACAUCAAAUCGUACCCCAAACCGACACAGGUGGUCAGGUAGAGAAUACCAAGGCGCUUGAGAGAACUCGGGUGAAGGAACUAGGCAAAAUGGUGCCGUAACUUCGGGAGAAGGCACGCUGACACGUAGGUGAAGUGAUUUACUCAUGGAGCUGAAGUCAGUCGAAGAUACCAGCUGGCUGCAACUGUUUAUUAAAAACACAGCACUGUGCAAACACGAAAGUGGACGUAUACGGUGUGACGCCUGCCCGGUGCCGGAAGGUUAAUUGAUGGGGUCAGCGCAAGCGAAGCUCCUGAUCGAAGCCCCGGUAAACGGCGGCCGUAACUAUAACGGUCCUAAGGUAGCGAAAUUCCUUGUCGGGUAAGUUCCGACCUGCACGAAUGGCGUAAUGAUGGCCAGGCUGUCUCCACCCGAGACUCAGUGAAAUUGAACUCGCUGUGAAGAUGCAGUGUACCCGCGGCAAGACGGAAAGACCCCGUGAACCUUUACUAUAGCUUGACACUGAACAUUGAGCCUUGAUGUGUAGGAUAGGUGGGAGGCUUUGAAGCGUGGACGCCAGUCUGCGUGGAGCCGACCUUGAAAUACCACCCUUUAAUGUUUGAUGUUCUAACGUGGACCCGUAAUCCGGGUUGCGGACAGUGUCUGGUGGGUAGUUUGACUGGGGCGGUCUCCUCCUAAAGAGUAACGGAGGAGCACGAAGGUUGGCUAAUCCUGGUCGGACAUCAGGAGGUUAGUGCAAUGGCAUAAGCCAGCUUGACUGCGAGCGUGACGGCGCGAGCAGGUGCGAAAGCAGGUCAUAGUGAUCCGGUGGUUCUGAAUGGAAGGGCCAUCGCUCAACGGAUAAAAGGUACUCCGGGGAUAACAGGCUGAUACCGCCCAAGAGUUCAUAUCGACGGCGGUGUUUGGCACCUCGAUGUCGGCUCAUCACAUCCUGGGGCUGAAGUAGGUCCCAAGGGUAUGGCUGUUCGCCAUUUAAAGUGGUACGCGAGCUGGGUUUAGAACGUCGUGAGACAGUUCGGUCCCUAUCUGCCGUGGGCGCUGGAGAACUGAGGGGGGCUGCUCCUAGUACGAGAGGACCGGAGUGGACGCAUCACUGGUGUUCGGGUUGUCAUGCCAAUGGCACUGCCCGGUAGCUAAAUGCGGAAGAGAUAAGUGCUGAAAGCAUCUAAGCACGAAACUUGCCCCGAGAUGAGUUCU